rnacentral:lncRNA from 1 species
CGCCUGUAGUUGAGGGUCAUGAGUUCUGCGAACCUCUGCUCAUACAGGUGGAGCAGCAGCACCAGGUACAAGCCUGAGUUCAUCAGCUCACUCUGUGCCUGCAUGCAGAAGACAGAGUCCACAAGUUAUCUCUGAAAUAUUCACAAGCUCAGCCACAGGGCGGAAGGUAAAGGUGUUCUCAUUCCUUCCCAGACUCUCGGAAAGUGCCUCAGCUGCAUCUGGCUUUCCUUGGUUGCCUGACCAGUCCCUUCUCCAUAUUGUAGCUACUAUCGAAGCCUGGUUGUAUUCCUGAACGUGCUGGGUAAAUGGAUGACUUCACCGACAAACCAACACACUUUUUAUAACUAAUCUCAAUGCCCGAAAGUUGCUCUGGCCAAGCACUGUCCUCAUAGAGCUACCAGGCCUAGAAACACAGACUGCACUGGGAGUGGGCUUCAUAAACUGGGGGUAUCUGGGGGCCAGUGUUUUCCUGAGGCGUAGCCAAUACCCGGCAACUUAACCCUCCUGUCUUCAUGGUAAAGGAGACAGCACUGCAGCUCCAUGUUACUGAAGAGGCACUGAGAGCUCUGGAGUAGCACCGGCAUUCCGAGCCUCGAUGUCGUAUCAUCAGCAACAAUGGGUUGAGAAUUAGGAUGCCCUCUAUAAAGCCAGGAGGAUUCAUUU